rnacentral:lncRNA from 1 species
AGUGGUGAUCUGUCAGAAGUGGAUGCUGGGAACCAAACAGGUUCACAGAAAGAGCCAUCUUUCCAGCCUUAUUAAUGGGAAACUUUCAAUAACACGCUGAACCAUUCAUCAUUUCCAAAUUUCUCCUGAAGAAGCAAAAUAGAAAGAACACUUGUUAAUUCUACUUUACUUCCUGUUCCAUCGCUGUGAGAAGACAUCAUGAUCAAAACAAUUUAUGCAAGGAAGGGUUGAGACUUGGGAUUCUAGAUGGUUAAGAAUCCAUCACAAGUACAUACGGGAGCAUCGCAGCAAGCACCAGGUAUGGCGGCAUAAGCAACUAAGAGCUCAUGCCUCUAACAGCAAACGUGAAGUAGAACGGACAAACCAGGAAAUAGCCAAUGGCUGGCUUCCAUCAGCAAAGCCAUACGUCCUAAACCUCCCCAAACAGAACAACUGGGAACCAAGUAUUGAAAUGGCCCAGCAUAUGAAAGGCAGCUCAUUCAAACCACCCCAUGAAGUGAAACAGUUAUGGUAUGCCAUGUAAUUAUACGGAUGUGAAAUCUUAAUCAGGAAAGUCAAACUCAAUUUCCAUCUUCCACGUUUGACUGUGCCACUUACUACCUGGUGAGCUGCUUCCUAAAAAGAGAGUAUUGGAAACUGGGUAUGGUGGGAGGCAGAAGCAGGCAGAUCUCAAUGACUUCAAGGCCAUCCAGAAGGGCAUUCCAUCUUGUUAACAAAAGGGGUAACUGUGCGGUCCACUUGUCUGAUUAUCUCACUCUAUUCAUCACAGGGUUUUUGUAAAUCUGAAUAUUUAUUCUAAAAUAAAACGGUUUUAAAUCAUGCUAAUUCAUUAAAAAUAAAAAUGACAAGCUG